CGCUGGCGGCGUGCCUAAUACAUGCAAGUCGAACGGUCUUUCUAUGGAAGCUUGCUCCACUGAAAAGAUAGUGGCGAACGGGUGAGUAACACGUGGGUAACCUGCCCAUAAGAGGGGGGAUAACAUCCGGAAACGGGUGCUAAUACCGCAUAGUUUUCUUGAUCGCAUGAUCGGGAAAGGAAAGACGGCCUUUGUGCUGUCGCUUAUGGAUGGACCCGCGGCGUAUUAGUUAGUUGGUGAGGUAACGGCUCACCAAGACGAUGAUACGUAGCCGACCUGAGAGGGUGAUCGGCCACAUUGGGACUGAGACACGGCCCAAACUCCUACGGGAGGCAGCAGUAGGGAAUCUUCCGCAAUGGACGAAAGUCUGACGGAGCAACGCCGCGUGAGUGAAAGAAGGUUUUCGGAUCGUAAAACUCUGUUGUCAGAGAAGAACAAGUUGGAGAGUAACUGCUCCAGCCUUGACGGUAUCUGACCAGAAAGCCACGGCUAACUACGUGCCAGCCGCCGC
rnacentral:rRNA from 1 species